GCUGUACGGUGAUGAUAGCUUGGCUCCCUCUACUGAGAGUUGUGAUGAAAGCAGCCAGACGUUACCCAAUAUUGCUGAGUGUACAGC
rnacentral:snoRNA from 1 species